CCUCUACCCAAGUAUUCCUUGACUCUGCCUUGGUAACCCGGGCAGAGGUAUGCAUAAAUUUCAUGUGUACCUGCACACCCAUUCUUCACUCGGAAAGUCUAUGUCAGAGUUAGAUGUGAGCAGCUUACUCAUGUCCUCUGUCCCUAGGUCCACCUUUAACACCCAGCCCCUCACAAACUACACAAAAGGUGAAUGAAGCAGAAGGAAGAAGAAAAUACUGAAUUGAAUAAUUUGUUCUUCCUUGGUAAAGAGCUACUCCCCUAUAGCAAGGCCUAAUUUUAUGUCCUUUAACAACUUCCUCUGUGUGUGUGUGUGUGUGUGUGUGUGUGUUUGUGUGUGUACGCUCUGCAUCAUUAAUAUGGACGGUUUGAUCUGGGUCAAUAUAAUAAGAUUACUGUGAUUAUUAAAUGAGAUAAUUAAUGUAAAGUAGCCUUUACAAUACAGUGGUAGCAAGCAGAAAUUUAAGUCAUGUUAAUUUUCUUCCUUAUUUUGUCUUCAUAGGCACUUAAGAUACGUCUCUUAUGCAGAUGAACUGGUGACUACUGAGUGAAAAUGAACUAGAGCCAAUAGUUAGGAGUCACAUGAAGGCAGAUUCAGUUCAAUACUUGGAGAUCUUCGAAAACCAAAAAUUACCCCUAGAGGAAGGGUCUCUUCUGAACUAAUGAAUUCACCCACUGGAGAUCCUCAGGAAGAGGUCAACCAAGCACUUGUCAGCAACACUGUAGCAGACAACCAUUUUUUAAAAGUGGCAUUGGUCUGGUGUUCUGCUUCCAGGAUUCUUGGAUUUGGAAAGGAAAACAAGCCUGGGUCAUCCAGGGACCAAGGCUCAUCUAACAAAAAUCCCUGGAGCAGCGUUUGGUUUGGUUACCUUUUUGCGUAGAGUCCUGUCUGCACCAGGAUAUAGGAUUUCUUCCCCACAAAGCUCUGCAUUCCAACUGACUUCUUGGUUGCCACAGAAUAGAGUGAAGUUUAGGUAAGACAGAGAAGAUUACUAAUGGAGCAGCUACUUGUAUUGCAGAAAUUAACAUGCUAUUAUUAAUAAUCAGAGGAAACAUUUAUUAAGCAUAAGGGGAAUAUUUGACAUAGACUAGGUACAAUAGCUCAUGCCUGUUAUCUCAGCAUUUUGGGAGGCCAAGGCAGAUCACUUGAGCCCAGGAGUUUGAGACCAGCCUGGGCAACAUGGUGAAAACUUCACCUCUACAAAAAAUUCAACAAUUAGUGGGAUGUGGUAGCGUGAGCCUGUAGUCCCAGUUACUUAGAAGACUGACAUGAGAGGAUCACCUCAGCCUGGGAGGUUGAGGCUGCAGUGACCCAUGAUCAUGUCACUGCACUUGAACCUGGGCAACAGAGUGAGACUCUUGUCUCAAAAAAAAAAAAAGGACACAGACACAUCACAAAAAGAAGGGCAGUUUCAACCCCAUACUUAGUGAAUUUACAACUUAUGUUCUGCUUCUGCACAGCUGCCACUGGAGAACUGCCUGCCCCCUAAGAUACAGUCCCAAGAUCUCUGACAGUUGUCAUUUUGGUUCAGGCAGUCUCUUGUUGAAUGGCUCUAAGUUGCUUGACCUCUCUGGGGUUUGUGAUUUUGGCUUUAUUUAUUAUUUUUUUUUGAGAUGGAGUCUCACUCUGUCACCCAGGCUGGAGUACAGUGGUGUCUUGGCUCACUGCAACCUCCGCCUCCCAGGUUCAGACGAUUCUCCUGCCUCAUCCUCCUAACUAGCUGGGACUACAGGCAUGUACCACCACACCCAGCUAAUUUUUGUGUUUUUAAUAGAGAUGGGGUUUCAUCAUGUUGGUCAGUCUGGUCUCGAACUCCUGACCUCAAGUAAUCCGCUUGCCUCGGCCUCCCAAAGUGCUGGGAUUACAGCCAUGAGCCAAUGUGUCAGGCUGGUGAUUUUUAAACACUUCGUUUAAAUAGCUAACAUGCAUGUAUAUGAAAACAAAAUGAACCGCCCCCCUCCCAACAUAUGCAAAAACCUAGUACUUUGCUCAAUGACCUAUGAAUGCUCACCCUCAACCUCCACUGCCUGCAUUCCCCAACCCCCUUGGUCAGACUCAAGGUCUGCAUCCAGCUUUCACUCUGCUGUCUGGACCUGGCUUCUCAGCUGCCAAGGACCUGACAGGAGAGUGUUG
rnacentral:lncRNA from 1 species